rnacentral:rRNA from 1 species
UUGAACGCUGGCGGCAUGCUUUACACAUGCCAGUCGAACGGCAGCGCGGGCUUCGGCCUGGCGGCGAGUGGCGAACGGGUGAGUAAUACAUCGGAACGUGCCCAGUAGUGGGGGAUAGCUCGGCGAAAGCCGGAUUAAUACCGCAUACGACCUGAGGGUGAAAGCGGGGGAUCUUCGGACCUCGCGCUAUUGGAGCGGCCGAUGGCAGAUUAGCUAGUUGGUGGGGUAAAGGCCUACCAAGGCGACGAUCUGUAGCUGGUCUGAGAGGACGACCAGCCACACUGGGACUGAGACACGGCCCAGACUCCUACGGGAGGCAGCAGUGGGGAAUUUUGGACAAUGGGCGAAAGCCUGAUCCAGCAAUGCCGCGUGUGUGAUGAAGGCCUUCGGGUUGUAAAGCACUUUUGGCGGGAACGAAAAGGACUGUGCCAAUACCACGGUUCGAUGACGGUACCCGCAGAAUAAGCACCGGCUAACUACGUG